rnacentral:rRNA from 1 species
CAGUCGAGCGGACAGAUGGGAGCUUGCUCCCUGAUGUUAGCGGCGGACGGGUGAGUAACACGUGGGUAACCUGCCUGUAAGACUGGGAUAACUCCGGGAAACCGGGGCUAAUACCGGAUGCUUGUUUGAACCGCAUGGUUCAAACAUAAAAGGUGGCUUCGGCUACCACUUACAGAUGGACCCGCGGCGCAUUAGCUAGUUGGUGAGGUAACGGCUCACCAAGGCAACGAUGCGUAGCCGACCUGAGAGGGUGAUCGGCCACACUGGGACUGAGACACGGCCCAGACUCCUACGGGAGGCAGCAGUAGGGAAUCUUCCGCAAUGGACGAAAGUCUGACGGAGCAACGCCGCGUGAGUGAUGAAGGUUUUCGGAUCGUAAAGCUCUGUUGUUAGGGAAGAACAAGUACCGUUCGAAUAGGGCGGUACCUUGACGGUACCUAACCAGAAAGCCACGGCUAACUACGUGCCAGCAGCCGCGGUAAUACGUAGGUGGCAAGCGUUGUCCGGAAUUAUUGGGCGUAAAGGGCUCGCAGGCGGUUUCUUAAGUCUGAUGUGAAAGCCCCCGGCUCAACCGGGGAGGGUCAUUGGAAACUGGGGAACUUGAGUGCAGAAGAGGAGAGUGGAAUUCCACGUGUAGCGGUGAAAUGCGUAGAGAUGUGGAGGAACACCAGUGGCGAAGGCGACUCUCUGGUCUGUAACUGACGCUGAGGAGCGAAAGCGUGGGGAGCGAACAGGAUUAGAUACCCUGGUAGUCCACGCCGUAAACGAUGAGUGCUAAGUG